GAUCCUGGCUCAGGAUGAACGCUAGCGGCAGGCUUAACACAUGCAAGUCGAGGGGCAGCAUAAUGGAUAGCAAUAUCUAUGGUGGCGACCGGCGCACGGGUGCGUAACGCGUAUGCAACCUACCUUUUAACAGGGGGGAUAACACUGAGAAAUUGGUACUAAUACCCCAUAACAUCAUGAAAGGCAUCUUUUAUGGUUGAAAAUUCCGAUGGUUAGAGAUGGGCAUGCGUUGUAUUAG
rnacentral:rRNA from 1 species